UAACUGCGUGCAGACGUGUGAACUGCAGGACACAUGAACACCGACGUUUUGAACGCAAAUGGCGGCUUGAAAUAAAUUUCAAGCCACGUCUGGCUGAGGGUCGGAUAUAAAAUCAAAACGAAAAAAUGCUUUCUGAGUUUACUUCUCAGGUUAAAGCUUUAUCGUCAAGUUUUUCAUGAGCUUGAUUAGAAUAUCAAUUGUAAUGUUUGCUGAAGUUUGUUCUGAUGUAAAAAUUUGUGAACAAGCAGCAGAUUUAUGUAAUGAAAGAAUCUGUGGAAAUAGCAACAUUGAAUUGAAAAACCAUUUAAAAAUAAAAAUGAUUCACAGAUACGACCUCAGAGUAGGCGAGAUUACCCGCUAAAUUUAA
rnacentral:misc_RNA from 1 species